CCUUGAAAAACUUCCUGUUAUGUUUAUCACAUGCAUUUAAACAAGUUACUGUAUUAAAAAAUGUUGCAGCUUGUUUUCCUCUCUUCUCGUUUACUGUUUUUAAAGUGUGAAUUCGGAAAUUGUUUUCGGUAUAUGUUUUAACAAUCUUCAUAAUUGGAGGACAUAAUUGUUUCAGUGGUUUAGGAGUUAAAAGGAAGUCCUGGUUGUAACCCGUCUUUGAAUUUAAAAAAGCUGACAAAACAAUAUUUUGCAAUGGAAUCGUACACCAUCACCUAAGAUACUUUGGAUACAAUUAUUUUUGUGAGUACCAAUUUUCGAGAAAUAAAAAAAGUACAAUUUCCGUGGAUAAUCAUUUCAAUGGAUUUGCCGGAAGUCCGCAUACAAGCUUAUAAAACAUUGGUUAUUCAUUGAACAUUUAAUUUUGUGGUUAACUUGUACCCACGAAGAUUGGUAUACAACGAAAAAUAAUGAAUCAACAGUUCACUGUUAAGAGUCAGGAGAACACUUUAAGAAAUAAGACAAGGCAUGCAUAUCCGUCCACACACAUAUGUUUGGAUUACACUUUUGGUAUUAUCCUGGAAAUGUGGAAAGGUUAGCGGAUCGGAAUCUACAAUGAAAACAUGGAAACAAGCGGUUUUAGAUUGCUAUGAGAAUAACACGUUUUUGGAAAGCAACUCAACUGUUCUUAAACAGUACAUGCUCAAUCAUACCAAAGUAAAUAUAAGUAUUUGGGUUGGCAGCUUCGAAGCUUUACUUCCUUGGAUUGAAAUAAGAGGUUGUUACAAUAUACCACUUACAUGCAACAGCUUAGAAAUAGAUGAAAAAAAUGCCGCAAAUUCAAAACUGUGCCAAUUAAAAUGCAUGAACAGACGAUAUUUUGCGUUUAACCAAAAAAAUGAGAGAUGCGUGUGCUUUGAUGAACAUGAUGUAGUGGAGAAAGAGACUGACAAUGCAAGUUUCUGUCAAGAAUUUAUACAUCGUGGAGACUACAAUACACACGUUGUUGUAUACAAAGUUUUUGAUAGACCAAUAACUUUAGCGGGUAAUAACCAUGACUGCCUGUCUUACCAAUGUAACUAUACUGGCGCGAUGCCAAUAUUUUACACAAAAGAUUGUUUUGAAUAUGCCAGAUCGUAUUGUCGUAAGUAUAUUAGAUAAUGAAAGAAAAAAUCGGUUAGAAAUUAGUAGGGUUUCAAAUUUUACUGCAAGACGAUCAUUUUAUCUACUUAGACUCAACACAGACGCUCAAAGCAAGAAGUCCAUACAAGAGUAAAGUUAAAGAGUAUUGAAAUCGAAAUGCCUUGCUCAAUAUAAAAAAUGCUAUCUUUUACUUA